rnacentral:lncRNA from 1 species
AACAAUUCAAAACUCCAUAAACGAAUUCAAGCAUGAACUAGAGUCGAAAUCCACAAAUAUUUAUCAACAUACCAAAUCCGUCAAACCCUAUAGGAAACUACUCCAUAAUCAUGGAGGAAAUAAUCACAAAUAUAAUUAAAGAAUAAGAAAGUAUCAAUCUAAUGUUACAAUCCAAAUUCUUGUAUUGAAUUGAUGGAAAGAUGAUGAAAUCCCGUGUCUUGUUGCCUCCAAUGCUCUCCCAAAGCUUCCAAAUUCAAGAGUUCUCUAAAUUUCGUAUUUUUGGUGUAUUUAUAUCAUGUAAGAAUGAGUCUGGACGAAACUAUCCUUUUCAAGGUGAACUAGGAGAAAUACUUUGUAAAAAUUGCACAUGCGCGGCGCAUGGCGCGCCGCCCCACACAGUGUGCCUGUGGAAAAGUUCAGAGAGUUGAUUUUUACACUCUGCAAGAAUUUUGCUCUAGCGCCCCGUUACGCAUGGCGCGGCGCGGUAGUGCAAUUUUCUUAGAGUAAUAUUUUUUCCUCACUUUUUGACAUCCAAACUUAGUCCUCGAUCCCCGAACGUGAUUCCGCCUUAAUUUCUUGGGCUUUUACUUAGACUUCAAAGCUCUAACUUGUUCAAAUUAUCUUAAUAGCUCAAAAUCACUUCCUGCAAGGCAUAAAACACAUAAUAAGUGCAAUACACUAAUAUUUAAGCUCAAACACAAGUAAAAUACAGUAAUUGGAGUGCAAACUUUGACUAAAAUACGGGAUUUUAGCAUACCAUCACUAACCAUAAAUCUAUAUGUUUAUGAAAACAAAAACUAAAAAUCAGUUCGCUAGUUCAAUUCAAUGUGUACUUGUCACGCCCCAAAAUGGAUUGCGACGUGGCCGGCACCCAGUGCCUCACCGUUUGCACCGACCAAACCAUUGCAGCUUAAUAUUUACCUCAACUCGCAAUUGUGUAGCUCAAUCUAUUUAAUAAAUUAUAAUAUUAGACGAGAGAAAUAAAAUAAACUUCAUUAACAAUAAAAGUUCAUAGCGUAAUUUGGACAUAAGUAAAAUGUCAUAUGUGAUACCAUGUGAGUACCCACUGCCUAAAAUAAUACACAUACUUUAUGGAGCCUCUAUGACGCAACGAAUGGAAUAAUAAAGUUGCAGGGGUAGCCCGCACUAUUCAAAAAUAUACAACUGAAACAAAGUGGCCCACGAGUGCAAAGGUGGACUCACCAAAAAUAAGAAAAGAGGCUGCAGGAACUCUAACUUGUGCGCUGACCGUCCUGCACCCGACCGUCUGCUAAACCUGAUAUCAUUUAAACAAACGAUGACUGAGUAUUGAAAUACUCAUAUAUGCGUCAACCACCACUCGUGGUAGGGAAAGAGUUAUAUAGAUAAUCAUAUGUAACAAAAUAAAUGAGAUCAAUAAUUUCAAGUAAGAUAUAUAAAUAAUGUAAAGUACAUAAAAUUACACCAAGGGAUUUAAAUUUGCAAGACGAGAAAUGUAUUUCUUAUGUGUCAGGCAUCUUAUUAUAAUUAUUGUUCUCAUUAUCUUGUGUCUCAAUAUCAAUGGCACUUAUGGUGCUGGAAUACAUCAGGAUGCCAUCCACGAAGACUGACGUACUAUCCCCAAACAGUUAGGCUAAUGUAUACAGUCAAGGAUCCAAGAGGCUGCCGUACCACUCUCGCACAGCUAGACAAAAAUAUAUUUUUCAUUCUUUUAUUUAUUUAUUUAUAGAAUCGUGUCCAUCGACCAAGAAUUAUUUCAUUAUGUAAUACAUCAAGGAUCUAAGAAGGCUGUCGUACCAUUCCCGCACAGCUAGACCAUAGGUGUUAGUCGCUAUGGAUAGCGUUUUAACUUUAAUUUUAUGUAAACCAAAUAACCAAAAGAAAGGAACACAACAAUAUAUGUAGAAGCAUGUCACGAAUUAUAUAAAUCUAUAUGGAUCAAGAAUAUCAUACUGAUAGUGUGGGGCAUCACUCAAUAGCACAAUAUAUGUAUAGCACCCAUAGAUAUCUUCAUCUAAUUUGAGAUUUAGUCAUAUAAGUGAUUUUAUUCGUUUAGUUCCAACAAAGAGUAAAUAAUGCGAGCUUGUCCCGCACGUGCAAGGAAUAUCAUCAAGUCACCAAAAUAAAUAAAUAAAUCAUAGAUUAGUUAGUUUUUUUUUUUUUGGAAAGCAACAAGAAGCUAGAAGCUCGACAUACCUCGAUAUUCCGCUAAGUUAGCUAAAAGUCGCACCGGCCGUUCCAACAAUAUUCAACAAAUUCAUUCUACAUAUAUGAGCUCAUAUUAAUUAAUAAAAUAUCCCAACAAUAUCAAUUUAAUUUAUUAUUUUUUUUAAAAAAAAUGUAAGAGACUUAGAUUAAUUCUUAAAAUUUUCUAAAUCAACCUUGCUGGUAAUAUCAUGCUCAAUAGCUUUAAGAACCUCAACAAUGGUAAUACUAGGCCCAUUCAAGUUAAUAAAGUCCAACAUUUAAAUUCCAACGACAUUAUCCAUCACCCCUUCCCCCAAACCACCAACACCAUUAACAACAAGCUAUUGUUACACAUUAUGGUCUCCAACAACCAACCAACUCAAAUACUAUCUUUCACAACCAUUACUACUCAUAAAUAACUCAUACUUAUUUUCCAAAGUGUAAAAAUUACCUUCUUGAAGAAACCCCCAAAAAUCAACUUUAGGGAUUUUUGAAGACACUUAGUAUUCUUAUUGAAUCUACUCAAUUUAAAGGGGUAACAAUGUUAAUAUAGAUGCUAAUAUCUCUAACUAAUACAAAAUUUUGGACAAAAACUUACUUUCACUGGUAUAGGAGUCGUCUUGGCCGAGAGCUUCUUGAGGAGCCACACUAACUAUUUUGUUUGGUUUUGUAAUGUAAAAUUAUCG